UACGUAGGGCGCAAGCGUUAUCCGGAAUUAUUGGGCGUAAAGAGCUCGUAGGCGGUUUGUCACGUCGGCUGUGAAAACCCGAGGCUCAACCUCGGGCCUGCAGUCGAUACGGGCAGACUAGAGUAUGGCAGGGGAGACUGGAAUUCCUGGUGUAGCGGUGAAAUGCGCAGAUAUCAGGAGGAACACCGGUCGCGAAGGCGGGUCUCUGGGCCAUAACUGACGCUGAGGAGCGAAAGCGUGGGGAGCGAACAGG
rnacentral:rRNA from 1 species